rnacentral:misc_RNA from 1 species
GUGAAUCAUCGAAUCUUUGAACGCAAAUUGCACUCUCUGGUAUUACGGAGAGUAUGUCUGUUUGAGGGUAAGUUUAAAUAAAAAUAGGUGUGGUUGCUGCCUUUCGUGGUGAGGCAACGGAUGUGGGUUGUACUGCUUUGGGUUAAGCGACCUAAAAUUUUGCAUGAUUUUUUCGAAAGUAUUCAAAUGAUUUUACGUACGUUUGUGAUAUGGAAUAAUAGUUACGGGAAGUUUCA